GCAGAUUGCAAAUCUGUUGGUCCUUAGUUCGAUCCUGAGUGCGAGCUUGUCGUUUUUUUUUCUUCUCUACUA